GCUUAAGACGCUUACUUCCCGAUUCCAUAACUUAUUCAUUAUAACUCAGAACGAGAUCAUUCCAAAGCCAUUCUCUUCCUUAUCUUACGUACUUCGAUUACCCAUGGACAGAACUCCGUUCUGAAUCCGUCAACAUGCCAUUAAAUUGGCUUAAUCUUCACUCUUCGUUCGUUCGUCCGUAAUUCGGUCAUCCAAAAUCAGAACUUGUUCGUUCUUGAGUCUGUGACUUAAGUUUUAUACGUUCUCUUUCAUUCUUAUGAAACCCUACACGUUCGGGCUCAUUUACAUACUUUCUAUUUCUCGUUCAUCUUUUACGAAUAUUCGCCAUAAUUUCGUUAUAG
rnacentral:lncRNA from 1 species